rnacentral:rRNA from 2 species
GGGAGUUACUUAAUAGUUGGGGGGAAGCUCGGGGACUCGAAUUAAUACCGCAUACGACCUACGGGAGAAAGGCGGCAGUUUACUGCUCUCGCUAUUAGAUGAGCCUAAGUCGGAUUAGCUAGAUGGCGGGGUAAAGGCCUACCAUGGCGACGAUCUGUAGCUGGUCUGAGAGGAUGAUCAGCCACACCGGGACUGAGACACGGCCCGGACUCCUACGGGAGGCAGCAGUGGGGAAUAUUGGACAAUGGGGGAAACCCUGAUCCAGCCAUGCCGCGUGUGUGAAGAAGGCCUUUUGGUUGUAAAGCACUUUAAGCAGUGAAGAAGACUCUUCGGUUAAUACCCGGAGACGAUGACAUUAGCUGCAGAAUAAGCACCGGCUAACUCUGUGCCAGCAGCCGCGGUAAUACAGAGGGUGCAAGCGUUAAUCGGAAUUACUGGGCGUAAAGCGAGCGUAGGUGGCUUGAUAAGUCAGAUGUGAAAUCCCCGGGCUUAACCUGGGAACUGCAUCUGAUACUGUCAGGCUAGAGUAGGUGAGAGGAAGGUAGAAUUCCAGGUGUAGCGGUGAAAUGCGUAGAGAUCUGGAGGAAUACCGAUGGCGAAGGCAGCCUUCUGGCAUCAUACUGACACUGAGGCUCGAAAGCGUGGGUAGCAAACAGGAUUAGAUACCCUGGUAGUCCACGCCGUAAACGAUGUCUACUAGUCGUUGGGUCCCUUGAGGACUUAGUGACGCAGCUAACGCAAUAAGUAGACCGCCUGGGGAGUACGGCCGCGAGGUUUAAAACUCAAAUUGAAUUGACGGGGGCCCGCCACCAAGCCGGUGGAGCAUGUUGGUUUAUUUCGAUGCAACGCGAAGAACCCUUACCUGGUCUUGAACAUAUCCUAGAAUUCCCUGCAGAAGAUGGCGGGGAGUGCCUUUCCGGAAAUUUAGAAUAACAGGUGCUGCAUGCUGUCCGUCAGCCUCCGUGGUCGUGAGAUGUUUGGAUUUAGGUCCCCGCACCGAGCGCCACCUUUUCCUUAGUUACCAGCGUUUAGGCGGUACUCUAAGGUAUCUGGCAGUGACCAAACUUGAAGCAACGCGGCACAUACGUUCAGUCAUCAUGGCCAUUAGAACAGGUAACUCA